rnacentral:rRNA from 1 species
CGGAUUGCAGAGAUGGCUUAGUGCUCGAAAGAGAACCGUAACACAGGUGCUGCAUGGCUGUCGUUAGCUCGUGUCGUGAGAUGUUGGGUUAAGUCCCGCAACGAGCGCAACCCUUGUCAUUAGUUGCUACAUUUAGUUGGGCACUCUAAUGAGACUGCCGGUGACAAACCGGAGGAAGGUGGGGAUGACGUCAAGUCCUCAUGGCCCUUAUAGGUGGGGCUACACACGUCAUACAAUGGCCGGUACAAAGGGCUGCCAACCCGCGAGGGGGAGCUAAUCCCAUAAAACCGGUCGUAGUCCGGAUCGCAGUCUGCAAUUCGACUGCGUGAAGUCGGAAUCGCUAGUAAUCGUGGAUCAGAAUGUCACGGUGAAUACGUUCCCGGGUCUUGUACACACCGCCCGUCACACCAUGGGAGCGGGUUCUGCC